CCCGCUGAACUUAAGCAUAUCAAUAAGCGGAGGAAAAGAAACUAACAAGGAUUCCCCUAGUAACUGCGAGUGAAGCGGGAAAAGCUCAAAUUUAAAAUCUGGCGGUCUUGCGGCCGUCCGAGUUGUAAUCUGGAGAAGCGUUUAUCCGCGUCGGACCGUGUACAAGUCUUCUGGAAGGGAGCGUCGUAGAGGGUGAGAAUCCCGUCUUUGACACGGACAACCGGUGCUUUUGUGAUGCGCUCUCGAAGAGUCGAGUUGUUUGGGAAUGCAGCUCAAAAUGGGUGGUAAAUUCCAUCUAAAGCUAAAUAUUGGCGAGAGACCGAUAGCGAACAAGUACCGUGAGGGAAAGAUGAAAAGAACUUUGAAAAGAGAGUUAAACAGUACGUGAAAUUGUUGAAAGGGAAACGUUUCAAGUCAGUCGCGUUGGCUGGUAAUCAACCUUUGCAAUCUUGCUGGGCUUACUUUCCAGUUGACGGGUCAGCAUCAAUUUUGACUGUCAGAUAAAGGCGUGGGGAAUGUGGCAUCCUCGGAUGUGUUAUAGCCCCCUGUCAGAUGUGAUGGUUGGGAUUGAGGAACUCAGCGUGCCUUUACCGGUCGGGGCCUACAAGCCCACGUAACAUGCUCAGGAUGCUGGCAUAAUGGCUUGAACCGACCCGUCUUGAAACACGG
rnacentral:rRNA from 1 species